rnacentral:rRNA from 1 species
CAGCCGCCGCGGGAAUACGAAGGGGGCUAGCGUUGUUCGGAAUUACUGGGCGUAAAGCGCACGUAGGCGGAUAUUUAAGUCAGGGGUGAAAUCCCGCAGCUCAACUGCGGAACUGCCUUUGAUACUGGGUAUCUUGAGUAUGGAAGAGGUUAGUGGAAUUGCGAGUGUAGAGGUGAAAUUCGUAGAUAUUCGCAGGAACACCAGUGGCGAAGGCGGCUAACUGGUCCAUAACUGACGCUGAGGUGCGAAAGCGUGGGGAGCAAACAGGAUUAGAUACCCCUGUAGUCCCUGUCUCUUAUAC